rnacentral:misc_RNA from 1 species
UUUCCGUAGGUGAACCUGCGGAAGGAUCAUUACAGAGUUCAUGCCCUCACGGGUAGAUCUCCCACCCUUGAAUAUAUAUACCUUAGUUGCUUUGGCAGGCCGUGGAAACACCAUGGGCUCCGGCUUAUGCGUGCCUGCCAGAGGAAACAAACUCUGCUUUUAGUGAUGUCUGAGUACUAUAUAAUAGUUAAAACUUUCAACAACGGAUCUCUUGGUUCUG